UUCUUUUAAACGAAAUUCAUGUCAUCUUCGUCGCUUCGGCGCGUGAAAAAGUCACCACUGGAAUAACCAGCUUGUGGCGGUUAGGAAAUCAUAGCGACGUCGCUUUUUGACCCUUAGAUUCCGGCUCCCAUAGAGUUGUGACGCAGAACUCAUAAGGCAUUGAAUUUUUCACUCACUAUUUGGGAACGUGGGCUGGUUUUCGACCGUGGUGAGACAGGUUAGUUUUAACCUACUAAUGAGUUUAAUAACUCAGUGUAGUAUAAACUGGCCGUUGCUAUAGUAAUCCUCUUUAUUGCCAGAGGUAUAUGUGCCUGGCCGAAAGGUCAGUGGUGCGAAGCUACCAUCUGAGGGAUCAAGGCUGAACACCUUCGAGUCUGAGUCCCGUGCAGGUGUGCAACGGUACAUUCUGUGUCUGUUAGAUGGCAAGGAUUAAUUAGGUUCUUCUUUUGACGUUUCGCCCAGACUGUGUCUGGCCUGGCCCACUGAUUCUGGUGUAAUGCCACAGCAAUUACGGAAACCAUAUACCGGAACUAGGUUUGCGGUGGACGACAAGAUGUCUAGCUGUAGAACGAGCAUGAGUUAACAGUGAAGGAAUGGCAUUUUACGGAUUUUCGGAAGUGCAUCUAGGAUGCAACAGUCAAUCG
rfam:Opisthorchis viverrini opera_v5_26.100, whole genome shotgun sequence.